GACGAACCGUGCGAACGUUGUUCGGAAUCACUGGGCAUAAAGGGCGCGUAGGCGGCUUUUCAAGUCAGGGGUGAAAUCCGGCAGCUUAACUGUCGAAGUGCCUUUGAUACUGGGAAGCUCGAGGGAGGUAGGGGUGUGUGGAACUUCCGGUGGAGCGGUGAAAUGCGUUGAUAUCAGGAAGAACACCAAUGGCGAAAGCAGCUCUCUGGGACGGUACUGACGCUGAGACGCGAAAGCGUGGGGAGCGAACAGG
rnacentral:rRNA from 1 species